UGAACGCAUUUUUUGCAUCUCCGUGCAUUCCGUGUUAUUUUAUAGUGUGAGAGAUGCAGGUAGCCUCCCGAAAGAGCCCCAAUGUGUAAAUGUUGCCGUACAUAGCUGUUUUCAGGAGAUUUAGCACAUGAAAACAACCCAGAGGGGGGCUCCGGGAAUACCCUUCGUGUUCCAGAGUCCUAAAUGGUCUACCCGGAAACGUGAUUUUGCGCAAAGAAACGCAAAAAAACAAAGCUACCGGGGGCUUGGAAAAUGCCGGAAUGAGGUUAUGUUCAUUCAUGGUGAACUCUAAAACCGACGAUGACUUUCAACUCAUAGAGGGAUAACUUUCGGGAAUAAUGCAGAAUUCAGGAAUGUCUACGGAUUGACACCAUCAUGUCCAUCUAUGACUGCCUCAAUUCAUCUACAUUUUUGCAGAGCCAUGUGCUGCGCAUCCCUUUAUAAUAGUGAACCCGGCCUUAGGAUUGUCUUCCUCAUCAAUGAUCUCAUCAAUUACUACGAAGUUCGUGAGCGCCGUUAAGGAUGCACCAGCCAGCAACUGGAAUUACCCUUAACACAAAAUUAAAUCUUUUGUUGUUAAGAAUUACUUUAAAAACAUAAAUUGAUUUUUGGCAAGGGCACUUUAUGUUUAAAAAAAACUAUUUUUUGUUAAGAAAAAUCUUUAAAACAUAAAUUGAUUUUUGGCAAGGUCACUUUCUGUUUAAAAAAACUAUUUUUUGUUAAGAAAAACCUUUAAAACAUAAAUUGAUUUUUAUCAAGGGAACUUUCUGUUUAAAAAAACUAUUUUUUGUUAAGAAAAAUCUUUAAAACAUAAAUUGAUUUUUUCAAGGGCGUAAACUAAUUGAAAAACUAUUUUUUGUUAAGAAAAACCUUUAAAACAUAAAUUGAUUUUUGGCAAGGUCACUUUCUGUUUAAAAAAACUAUUUUUUGUUAAGAAAAAUCUUUAAAACAUAAAUUGAUUUUUUCAAGGGCGUAAACUAAUUGAAAAACUAUUUUUUGUUAAGAAAAACCUUUAAAACAUAAAUUGAUUUUUGGCAAGGUCACUUUCUGUUUAAAAAAACUAUUUUUUGUUAAGAAAAACCUUUAAAACAUAAAUUGAUUUUUGGCAAGGUCACUUUCUGUUUAAAAAAAACUAUUUUUUGUUAAGAAAAAUCUUUAAAACAUAAAUUGAUUUUUUCAAGGGCGUAAACUAAUUGAAAAACUAUUUUUUGUUAAGAAAAACCUUUAAAACAUAAAUUGAUUUUUGGCAAGGGAACUUUCUGUUUAAAAAAACUAUUUUUUGUUAAGAAAAAUCUUUAAAACAUAAAUUGAUUUUUUCAAGGGCGUAAACUAAUUGAAAAACUAUUUUUUGUUAAGAAAAAGCUUUAAAACAUAAAUUGAUUUUUGGCAAGGUCACUUUCUGUUUAAAAAAACUAUUUUUUGUUAAGAAAAAUCUUUAAAACAUAAAUUGAUUUUUUCAAGGGCGUAAACUAAUUGAAAAACUAUUUUUUGUUAAGAAAAACCUUUAAAACAUAAAUUGAUUUUUGGCAAGGUCACUUUCUGUUUAAAAAAACUAUUUUUUGUUAAGAAAAACCUUUAAAACAUAAAUUGAUUUUUGGCAAGGUCACUUUCUGUUUAAAAAAAACUAUUUUUUGUUAAGAAAAAUCUUUAAAACAUAAAUUGAUUUUUUCAAGGGCGUAAACUAAUUGAAAAACUAUUUUUUGUUAAGAAAAACCUUUAAAACAUAAAUUGAUUUUUGGCAAGGGAACUUUCUGUUUAAAAAAACUAUUUUUUGUUAAGAAAAAUCUUUAAAACAUAAAUUGAUUUUUUCAAGGGCGUAAACUAAUUGAAAAACUAUUUUUUGUUAAGAAAAAGCUUUAAAACAUAAAUUGAUUUUUGGCAAGGUCACUUUCUGUUUAAAAAAACUAUUUUUUGUUAAGAAAAAUCUUUAAAACAUAAAUUGAUUUUUUCAAGGGCGUAAACUAAUUGAAAAACUAUUUUUUGUUAAGAAAAACCUUUAAAACAUAAAUUGAUUUUUGGCAAGGUCACUUUCUGUUUAAAAAAACUAUUUUUUGUUAAGAAAAACCUUUAAAACAUAAAUUGAUUUUUGGCAAGGUCACUUUCUGUUUAAAAAAAACUAUUUUUUGUUAAGAAAAAUCUUUAAAACAUAAAUUGAUUUUUUCAAGGGCGUAAACUAAUUGAAAAACUAUUUUUUGUUAAGAAAAACCUUUAAAACAUAAAUUGAUUUUUGGCAAGGGAACUUUCUGUUUAAAAAAACUAUUUUUUGUUAAGAAAAAUCUUUAAAACAUAAAUUGAUUUUUUCAAGGGCGUAAACUAAUUGAAAAACUAUUUUUUGUUAAGAAAAAGCUUUAAAACAUAAAUUGAUUUUUGGCAAGGUCACUUUCUGUUUAAAAAAACUAUUUUUUGUUAAGAAAAAUCUUUAAAACAUAAAUUGAUUUUUUCAAGGGCGUAAACUAAUUGAAAAACUAUUUUUUGUUAAGAAAAACCUUUAAAACAUAAAUUGAUUUUUGGCAAGGGAACUUUCUGUUUAAAAAAACUAUUUUUUGUUAAGAAAAAUCUUUAAAACAUAAAUUGAUUUUUUGCGAGGGCGCAAACUAAUUGAAAGACUAACUUUUGUUAAAAAUUACUUUAAAUACAUAAAUUGAUUUUUAUCAAGGGAACUUUCUGUUUAAAAAAACUAUUUUUUGUUAAGAAAAACCUUUAAAACAUAAAUUGAUUUUUUGCGAGGGCGCAAACUAAUUGAAAGACUAACUUUUGUUAAAAAUUACUUUAAAUACAUAAAUUGAUUUUUAUCAAGGGAACUUUCUGUUUAAAAAAACUAUUUUUUGUUAAGAAAAACCUUUAAAACAUAAAUUGAUUUUUUGCGAGGGCGCAAACUAAUUGAAAGACUAACUUUUGUUAAAAAUUACUUUAAAUACAUAAAUUGAUUUUUAUCAAGGGAACUUUCUGUUUAAAAAAACUAUUUUUUGUUAAGAAAAAUCUUUAAAACAUAAAUUGAUUUUUUGCGAGGGCGCAAACUAAUUGAAAGACUAACUUUUGUUAAAAAUUACUUUAAAUACAUAAAUUGAUUUUUAUCAAGGGAACUUUCUGUUUAAAAAAACUAUUUUUUGUUAAGAAAAACCUUUAAAACAUAAAUUGAUUUUUUUGCGAGGGCGCAAACUAAUUGAAAGACUAACUUUUGUUAAGAAUUACUUUUAAUACAUAAAUUGAUUUUUGGCAAGGGCACUUUCUUUUUAAAAAAACUAUUUUUUGUUAAGAAAAACCUUUAAAACAUAAAUUGAUUUUUUGCGAGGGCGCAAACUAAUUGAAAGACUAACUUUUGUUAAAAAUUACUUUAAAUACAUAAAUUGAUUUUUAUCAAGGGAACUUUCUGUUUAAAAAAACUAUUUUUUGUUAAGAAAAACCUUUAAAACAUAAAUUGAUUUUUUGCGAGGGCGCAAACUAAUUGAAAGACUAACUUUUGUUAAAAAUUACUUUAAAUACAUAAAUUGAUUUUUAUCAAGGGAACUUUCUGUUUAAAAAAACUAUUUUUUGUUAAGAAAAAUCUUUAAAACAUAAAUUGAUUUUUUGCGAGGGCGCAAACUAAUUGAAAGACUAACUUUUGUUAAAAAUUACUUUAAAUACAUAAAUUGAUUUUUAUCAAGGGAACUUUCUGUUUAAAAAAACUAUUUUUUGUUAAGAAAAAUCUUUAAAACAUAAAUUGAUUUUUUGCGAGGGCGCAAACUAAUUGAAAGACUAACUUUUGUUAAAAAUUACUUUAAAUACAUAAAUUGAUUUUUAUCAAGGGAACUUUCUGUUUAAAAAAACUAUUUUUUGUUAAGAAAAAUCUUUAAAACAUAAAUUGAUUUUUUGCGAGGGCGCAAACUAAUUGAAAGACUAACUUUUGUUAAAAAUUACUUUAAAUACAUAAAUUGAUUUUUAUCAAGGGAACUUUCUGUUUAAAAAAACUAUUUUUUGUUAAGAAAAACCUUUAAAACAUAAAUUGAUUUUUUUGCGAGGGCGCAAACUAAUUGAAAGACUAACUUUUGUUAAGAAUUACUUUUAAUACAUAAAUUGAUUUUUGGCAAGGGCACUUUCUUUUUAAAAAAACUAUUUUUUGUUAAGAAAAAUCUUUAAAACAUAAAUUGAUUUUUUGCGAGGGCGCAAACUAAUUGAAAGACUAACUUUUGUUAAAAAUUACUUUAAAUACAUAAAUUGAUUUUUAUCAAGGGAACUUUCUGUUUAAAAAAACUAUUUUUUGUUAAGAAAAAUCUUUAAAACAUAAAUUGAUUUUUUCAAGGGCGUAAACUAAUUGAAAAACUAUUUUUUGUUAAGAAAAACCUUUAAAACAUAAAUUGAUUUUUGGCAAGGUCACUUUCUGUUUAAAAAAACUAUUUUUUGUUAAGAAAAACCUUUAAAACAUAAAUUGAUUUUUUGCGAGGGCGCAAACUAAUUGAAAGACUAACUUUUGUUAAAAAUUACUUUAAAUACAUAAAUUGAUUUUUAUCAAGGGAACUUUCUGUUUAAAAAAACUAUUUUUUGUUAAGAAAAACCUUUAAAACAUAAAUUGAUUUUUUGCGAGGGCGCAAACUAAUUGAAAGACUAACUUUUGUUAAAAAUUACUUUAAAUACAUAAAUUGAUUUUUAUCAAGGGAACUUUCUGUUUAAAAAAACUAUUUUUUGUUAAGAAAAACCUUUAAAACAUAAAUUGAUUUUUUUGCGAGGGCGCAAACUAAUUGAAAGACUAACUUUUGUUAAGAAUUACUUUUAAUACAUAAAUUGAUUUUUGGCAAGGGCACUUUCUUUUUAAAAAAACUAUUUUUUGUUAAGAAAAAUCUUUAAAACAUAAAUUGAUUUUUUGCGAGGGCGCAAACUAAUUGAAAGACUAACUUUUGUUAAAAAUUACUUUAAAUACAUAAAUUGAUUUUUAUCAAGGGAACUUUCUGUUUAAAAAAACUAUUUUUUGUUAAGAAAAAUCUUUAAAACAUAAAUUGAUUUUUUCAAGGGCGUAAACUAAUUGAAAAACUAUUUUUUGUUAAGAAAAACCUUUAAAACAUAAAUUGAUUUUUGGCAAGGUCACUUUCUGUUUAAAAAAACUAUUUUUUGUUAAGAAAAACCUUUAAAACAUAAAUUGAUUUUUGGCAAGGUCACUUUCUGUUUAAAAAAACUAUUUUUUGUUAAGAAAAACCUUUAAAACAUAAAUUGAUUUUUUGCGAGGGCGCAAACUAAUUGAAAGACUAACUUUUGUUAAAAAUUACUUUAAAUACAUAAAUUGAUUUUUAUCAAGGGAACUUUCUGUUUAAAAAAACUAUUUUUUGUUAAGAAAAACCUUUAAAACAUAAAUUGAUUUUUUUGCGAGGGCGCAAACUAAUUGAAAGACUAACUUUUGUUAAGAAUUACUUUUAAUACAUAAAUUGAUUUUUGGCAAGGGCACUUUCUUUUUAAAAAAACUAUUUUUUGUUAAGAAAAAUCUUUAAAACAUAAAUUGAUUUUUGGCAAGGGAACUUUCUGUUAUAAAAACUAUUUUUUGUUAAGAAAAACCUUUAAAACAUAAAUUGAUUUUUUGCGAGGGCGCAACCUAAGAAUUACUUUUAAUGUUUUAAUACAUAAAUUUGAUUAUUUUCUUAAUUUUCAUUAUGUAUUUGUAAGAAUUCAACCUUGUAGAGGAAUCUAGGUUAAAAAGUUAUUUUUUUAGGAUUAUAUGGAAAUGUUCUUGCUUACAAUGUUGUCUAACACGAGAUUUUUCUAUCAUAACGGGAAAUUUUAUUUUCAUGCCAUUUCCCGAACCCUCAUACAUUUACGUUUUGCCCCAACUAUAACUAUUUACUUUUUUGUAAAUAAUUUUUUUUGAUUCACCAUUUUACCCUAGUAUCCUCAUAUCACUAUGUACUCAUCAUUUCUAUCUAAUUUUUUUUCCAUGUUCAGAUUAUGAAAAGGUAUUUUAUAAACGCAAUUUGAUAUUUUACCCCAUGACUGACGUUUUUUGAAAAAAAAAACAAUUUAUAAUUCUGUUUUAAAAAUUAUUAAAAUAAUUUAUUUGUAGUACAUACCUAUUAUUAAAAGUUGGAGAGUAAAAAAAAUGUUACGUUGAAAUUGUUGUAGCUGUUACAUGUAUUUUUAUGUAAAUAAGAAUGUAUGCGAAUUAAUAUGAAUAAUAAAAAUAUAAAAAUGGUUUUUAUGAAA